CCGAGCGAUAAGGGUACACGGUGGAUGUCUUGGUGUCGAGAGGCGAUGAAAGACGUUGGAACCUGCGAUAAGCCCGAAGGAGCCGGUAACCAGGCUGCGAUCUCGGGAUCUCUGAAUGGGGCAACCCACCCGCAAGGGUACUUCACUCUGAACGCAUAGGAGUGAAGAGCGAACGUGGAGAAGUGAAACAUCUCAGUAUCCACAGGAAAAGAAAGCAACAGCAAUUCCGUGAGUAGCGGCGAGCGAAAGCGGAUCAACCGAACGACGAACGAAGCGUUUGAAUGACGCGCCGCAGAAGGUGAAAGCCCUGUAGUCGAAGUUCGGCCAGCCCAUCGAGUAAACUCGGGCUCGGGAAACCCGGGUUGAACAUGGGGGGUCCACCCUCCAAGGCUAAAUACUCCUCGACAACCGAUAGCGAACCAGUAAGGCGACUGAACGAUGACAAGCACCGCGACGAGCGGAGUGAAAGAGUACCUGAAACCGUGUACUUACAAGCGGUCGGAGCCCCUCACGGGGUGACGGCGUGCUUUUUGCAUAAUGAGCCGACGAGUUGCUCUGUACGGCGAGCCUAAGGCCUACCAGGCCGGAGGCGGAGCGAAAGCGAGUCUGAUAAGGGCGCUAAGUCGUACGGAGUAGACGCGAAACCUUGUGAUCUACCGUUGGUCAGACUGAAGGGCGGGUAAGACCGCCUGGAGGGUCGAACGGGUGACCGUUGAAAAGGUCUCCGAUGAACUGACGGGAGGACUCAAAGUGUAAUCAAACUGGGAGAUAGCUCGUUCUCUCCGAAAUAACUUUAGGGUUAGCCUCAGAAUGCAGACAUUGGGGGUAGAGCUACUGGAUGAGGCAGGGGGUCUACCCGACUACCCUCCUCAACCAAACUCCGAAUACCAAUGUCCAAGCUCUGGGAGAUAGACGGUGAGUGACAAUAUCCAUCGUCAAAAGGAGAACAAUCCAGACCACCAGCUAAGGUCCCUCAAAUGUGCUUAGUUCGAAAGGAAGUUGGGUUGCUGUGACAUCCAGGAUGUUGGCUUAGAAGCAGCCAUCAUUUAAAGAGUGCGUAACAGCUCACUGGACGAGGAACUCAGCGCCGAUAAUGAUCGGGAAUAAGCACGUUGCCGAAGCUGUGGGAGUCGAAAGACUCGGUAGGAGAGCGUUCUUGGCCGCGGCGAAGCGAUUCCGGAAGGGGUCGUGGAGCGCCAAGAAGUGAAGAUGUCGGCUUGAGUAACGAUUAACAAGGUGAGAAUCCUUGUCGCCGAAUACCCAAGGUUUCCUGGGCAAGGUAAAUCCGCCCAGGGUUAGCCGGGACCUAAGGCAAGGCCGAAAGGCGUAGUCGAUGGACGUGCGGUCAAUAUUCCGCAGCACGCGUGGAGAUCAAAUCACGUUUCGGAUUCCAAAGCUCGACGGGGCUGUAAGAUGCCCAGGCCCUUGUGGCCGAUGUCGGGUGGCGGGGUUCCUAGAAAAGGCGUGAGGGCAAGACGCGUCCCGUACCAAAACUGACACAGGUGGGUGUGGCGAAUAGCCUCAGGCGCUCGAGAGAACGGUCGUGAAGGAACUAGGCAAGUUAACCCCGUAAGUUCGCAAGAAGGGGGGCCUACUCCGCAAGGAGAGGCCGCAGAGAAAAGGGUCUGGGAACUGUUUAUCAAAAACACAGCUCUGUGCUAAGACGCAAGUCGAUGUAUACAGAGUGACGCUUGCCCGAUGCCGGAAUGUCAAGAGAGUGGGUCAUCGAAAGAGAAGCUCGCGAUCGAAGCACCGGUGAAUGGCGGCCGUAACUAUGACGGUCCUAAGGUAGCGAAGUUCCUUGUCGGGU
rnacentral:rRNA from 1 species